rnacentral:rRNA from 1 species
UACGUAGGGUGCAAGCGUUAAUCGGAAUUACUGGGCGUAAAGCGUGCGCAGGCGGUUGUGCAAGACCGAUGUGAAGGCCCCGGGCUUAACCUGGGAAUGGCAUUGGUGACUGCACGGCUAGAGUGUGUCAGAGGGGGGUAGAAUUCCACGUGUAGCAGUGAAAUGCGUAGAGAUGUGGAGGAAUACCGAUGGCGAAGGCAGCCCCCUGGGAUAACACUGACGCUCAUGCACGAAAGCGUGGGGAGCAAACAGG